rnacentral:rRNA from 1 species
UGGGGAAUAUUCGGCAAUGGGCGAAAGCCUGACCGAGCCAUGCCGCGUGAGUGAUGAAGGCCUUAGGGUUGUAAAGCUCUUUCACCGGGGAAGAUAAUGACGGUACCCGGAGAAGAAGCCCCGGCUAACUUCGUGCCAGCAGCCGCGGUAAUACGAAGGGGGCUAGCGUUGUUCGGAAUUACUGGGCGUAAAGCGCACGUAGGCGGAUUGUUAAGUCGGGGGUGAAAGCCCGGGGCUCAACCCCGGAAUGGCCCUCGAUACUGGCAAUCUGGAGUCCGGAAGAGGUGAGUGGAAUUCCGAGUGUAGAGGUGAAAUUCGUAGAUAUUCGGAGGAACACCAGUGGCGAAGGCGGCUCACUGGUCCGGCACUGACGCUGAGGUGCGAAAGCGUGGGGAGCAAACAGGAUUAGAUACCCGUGUAGUCC